UUAACUUUGUAGUAUUUGCAUGUCAAUUCACUGAAAAUCUUACACGUCAAAUUCCUCUUCGGCCAAAUUGUUACACGUCAAAAUCUUACCGCAACUCCUGUCUUUACCUAAAUGUUUUCCCACUUUACACUCCAGUUGCAUUCUGCCUUUGUUCUCUGUUGCUCCCUUUGUUCUCUGUUGCCAAUUCCUCUGAUUCUAUUAAGAGUCUGCCAUGAUGAACCAACGACUCUCUGUCGAUGCUAUCACAAAAGAAACUACAGGUUGGACCUGUAAGAUUCAGGUGGUGGACAAGUUCCGACCUCUCGAGAGCAAAGAUCAAAGUGUACAGUUUCAGACAAUGCUUGUCCAGGAUGAAAGCUUAAGUUCGCCUAGACGCAUGUUCUUACUGAAAAAUGGUGCUCAUACUCAUGCUGUUUUUAAAAAAUUUAUCACCUACAACACCUUCGCAAAUUGUCAGUUGAAGCCCGGAACAACAGGUUGUCGUAGUACUUUACGGUGAUGAUAUUCCCAAGUAUGAGAGCCUAUUUGCUCUUUCCAAUACAUAUUUGGUUUCCUGUGCCAAAGUUAGAGAUCCCCGCGGUUACUCAAUACACGCUGUUACUUACGAAUGGGUGGUCGACAGACACAGUUGUUGAGGCCGAUACCAAUAACGGUGGGACGGAACUACCCGUCUCCUCCAAGAAAGUUGAACACACUUCCUUUUGCAGCUAUGGAGCACCUACGUCCAGGUGUUGAAUUUGACUUACUUGCAGUAGUAGCUAACUGCGGUGCGCAACAGCAUACCACCGACCAAAGUAAACACUUUCGCGAGGCAAUUGUAAUGGAUCAGAGGUCAGUUACUCCCCCGCUUCUGCUUAUUAAAAAAUAUUGGCAACGUAAAUAUUUAUAUGCCUGUUGUAUCGAUCAGCAAGAAACCUGCCCUAUUUACUAUAUGGGAUGAUUUAGCCGACAAUGAAGGCACUAUAUUACUAGAUCCCUUGCAUGAGCACCCCGUCAUUCUUGCUAAGCAUAUAGGCGUUACUGAGUUUCGCGGUGGUAUGUUGUUUACAUCGGUCUCUGUAACUCUUCCCUUUUACCUCUGCGCUUAUUUCCCUUUGUUCAACUACAUACCUCUCUAUCUCUAUCAUAUGCAGCUAUAAUAUUAUCCAUAAGAUAUCAUACAACGAUCUUAGUGAAUCCUAAAUACGUGUAGGCUGCUACAUUGAAGAAGUGGUACCUAUUAACUUAUCCACUCAUCGACAUGCUGUGCUGUUCAAACACUUUUAGUAAAAAGAAAUACUCACUAUUUGACCUGCUUUUUUCCAGGGUGGAGGACAAUGAACAAAUGCUAAUAUCUUACACUUUACGCAGCCCAUCGGCUUCACUUUCAUCACUAAAUCUUGCAGCUAUUGAAGAUGAAGUGUUGCCCAUAUCUAACAUUCCAGAUUGUCAUCUACGGUACAGACUUUUCCUGUGGAAGGCAGGAUAUCACUUCCUGAUCGUCCCCAAUCGUUUUACCUACUCGCUUGCUCACACUGCAACCUCUUUGUACGCAUCAAGAUUAAAAAGUUGGUGUGGUGCUUCAACUGUAAGCUAGAACGAAUGUUGGUACCCAGGUGCCACUUUGAGCUAACAUUCUGGACGCCAGUGAUACAAUUACUGUGACUGUCUCAGAGACAGUGGCAGAAACUAUGCUGUCCCUCACUGCCGAACAAAUAUAUGAAAAUGUUGCUGCCAAGAGAGAACCACUGUCUACUGUGCGUAUAAAUCAACAGUUUGAUCAUAAAUUGUCUAGACUCCAACUACAAAAGCCAAUCUACAGGUUUCCCGACCAAACACCUGGUAUGCUAGCUGUUGCAUCCUUCACUGAAGCAGAAACCCCGGUUCUCAAAGCAUUAUCAUUACCAAUGGCUUCUGGAGAAGCAGGUAAGAAGCAGAAAGUCGAACCGUCCACUCCAACGAAACAAGCCUAAAGGUAAAAAUAUUUUCACUAUAUUGUUUACUUUAGUAUUCCACUUCCCCUUUAGCUUCUUACUCCGAACAUUUGCAUUAAAUGACAUGUGAAAAGAAGCCACAAAUAUUGUAAUCUUCGCAUCAAAUCAUGUUCACACCUCAAUUCUUUAGUAUUACUAAGGCAAAUAGAAAUUAAUUUGUCUCCCUCUUU